rnacentral:rRNA from 1 species
GAUGAACGCUGGCGGCGUGCCUAACACAUGCAAGUCGAGCGAACAGACGAGGCUCUUGCUCCUCUCACGUGAGCGGCGGACGGGUGAGUAACACGUGUAUAACCUACCUAUAAGACUGGGAUAAUCACGGGACUGCGGAUCUAAUACCGGAGGAGCUAUUGAACCGCAGGGGUGGUUGGAGAAAGUCGGUUGUGCUGUCACUACUAGAUGGAUCUCAGCCGGAUUAGAUAGUUGGUAAGGUAACGGCCUACCAAGGCGACGAUGCGUAGCCGAACUGAGAGGGUGAUCGGCCACACUGGAACUGAGACACGGUCAAGACUCCUACGGGAGGCAGCAGUAGGGAAUGUUCGGCAAUGGGCGAAAGCUUGACGCAGCAACGCCGCGUGUGUGAUGAAGGUCUUCGGAUCGUAAAGCUCUGUUAUUAGGGAAGAACCACUGUGUAAGUAACCAUAGACGUCUUGACGGUACCUAAUCAAAAAGCAACGGCUAACUACGUG